GCCGUGGAAGGUUAGAUAGACAUAAAAUGAAAGAGGAAUUACACCAGAAGAAGGAGGUUAGGAGUUGUUCACGUUGAGGGUUCUGAAAGGAUCUGGGGAGUCAAGUGGAAUUAAACUUUUCACAUAAAUAGACAAAUAACAACUCUAAGAGUGGAUUGCCCCUGCUUAGAAAAUUGCUCGAAGAGUCUACAUACAGCUAUGGCUUCCUGUUGUAGAAGUGGGAAGUUUAAGAUGGGCAUCUUCAUGGACACUGGCAUUUGUUCCUCGCAGACCCAAGGAAAAAUAAAGAUAAU